ACGAGUUUUAAUUGUUAGGUUAGAGUUGAGCUGGUUAAUCUAAUUAAUAUGUGCUUACUCUAAUCGAAACAUAGUCCACUCAUUACUUAACAAACACUUGUGAACCUUAUUCAUUACAAACAUUAUUAUUUGUAUUAGAACGUUUGAUUAUUAAAAAGUUAAUA
rnacentral:misc_RNA from 1 species